AAUCUCCCUGGUGGUGUACAGAAACAGAGUACAGUUGCUGCAGAGGAGCUCGGUCAAUGAUGCCUGUAAAUAAACGAUGGGCAAUUUCUGCAGGUCAACUUACGUUGCAUCCAGAGAUAACUCCAUCACCGCCAGCGCACACCAUUGAUUUCUUUACCGUAAACCACCACCAGGAGGGCUGGGAACAAGUGGCGUAGUCCACGACAGGCAGGAUUUGGCGAAAUGAAUUCUCGAGGAUGUAGGUAUGGCCAUGGCAGUCAUUGCUGGUCUGGACUUCAGGAUGGAUUGAAACGUUGGGCUGGACUGCAGUAGUGGGACCCGGGCCCAAGAAGGAAACAUGAACCGAUGUUAUUAAGAUUCCAUCUCCUGAUUUCGAGAAUUUGACUCAUUAUCUCCUCAUAUUUGAAACAUGCGUAUAUAAAGGCGGCAGAAACCGUCCCCACCCCCAGCAGUAUAGAGAACAACCGCACGCAGGGAGGAGAAUCGUGUUAGAUAAUAGAUAAUUGCAAAGGUUCGUGGAUUGUGGGAGGGAAUAUGAUAUCAGGGUGGAUGGAGACCAGAGGACCUCAUCAUAUCCAAUCUUUUAAAAUCAACAGCCUGUUAAUGGUUGGAGAAAAUUCAUACCAGUUAACAUGUUACUACAUGAAAGGAUUAAAUAAAAAAUUUAAAAAGAGGGUGCUGAGUUGCAAAAUUCUAUUCCCAAACAUUUUGCAAGCGCUUUACCAUUUUGCAGUAUCUUUCCUAAAUGGAAUGUUACUUUCGUGGUCCAUUUUAAGAUGGGGAGUCAAGGCAAAGUAUUAUCUAGGUCCUUGGGAAGAUUAUCAUUUUAUAGUUUAGUAAGUUAUAUUUUUCUCUCUUUUUUGGGGGGUUUUUCUUUUUUUUUUCUCUUUUUACUUCUUUGUUCAUUAAUGUUCUGAGUUUGAGAGGUUAUAUAUUUUUAUUAUUAUAUAUCUGAAUGUCUAUUUAAACUAUUA